GGGUGCGAUCAUACCAGCACUAAUGCAUCGGGACCAAUCGAAGCUCCCAAGAUAAGCGAGCCUAGGCGAGAGAAGUACUAGGAUGGUGACCUCCUAGGAAGUCCUCGUGUUGCACCCU
rnacentral:rRNA from 1 species